rnacentral:rRNA from 1 species
CAGUCGCCACGGUAAUACGUAGGUCCCGAGCGUUGUCCGGAUUUAUUGGGCGUAAAGCGAGCGCAGGCGGUUAGAUAAGUCUGAAGUUAAAGGCUGUGGCUUAACCAUAGUACGCUUUGGAAACUGUUUAACUUGAGUGCAAGAGGGGAGAGCGGAAUUCCAUGUGUAACGGUGAAAUGCGUAGAUAUAUGGAGGAACACCGGUGGCGAAAGCGGCUCUCUGGCUUGUAACUGACGCUGAGGCUCGAAAGCGUGGGGAGCAAACAGGAUUAGAUACCCGCGUAGUCCCUGUCUCUUAUACA